UACGGAGGGGGCUAGCGUUGUUCGGAAUUACUGGGCGUAAAGCGCACGUAGCGGUGGCGCAUGUCAGGAUGUGAAAGCCCCUGGGCUUAACCUAGGAAUUGCAUUUGAAACUGCGCCGCUAGAGGCCGGGAAGAGGGUAGUGGAAUUCCCAGUGUAGGAGGUGAAAUUCGUAGAUAUUCGGAAGAACACCGAGCGGAGGACGGCGACCUGCCGUUGCUGGACGUCGAGCGC
rnacentral:rRNA from 1 species